ensembl:lncRNA
GGGAGGUCUCUAAAAAUGGGAUGGAAGGGUAGUGGGGCAUAAUGAGGGAUUCCUGGGCCAGUUCCUGAAGCUCCUGGCCUGGAGAGCAACCUCAGUACUCCCCAGGAGGCGCCCCAGGGGGUGCAGAGGCCCCGAGGGAGGGCUCCUCUACUUUGUGAACCUUAAGCUCUCUGCACGUCAUCCCGUGACCCCACCCCAGAGUUUACCUUCCCACAGGCCUAAAGCUCCGCGGUCUGAGCCCCUGGAGGUCUGCGGUGGAGCUGCGACUCCCAGAGCUCGCGGGGGGCUCCGCGUGUCCUCUUGGGUCCGGGGAUCCUGCUUGGCUGCGGCACGCGUCUGCUCGGUGCGGGGACUCUAAGAUUCCUGGUGGACACGGGUUGGGGGUUGGCGCCGGGGAUCCUGCGAGGCCAGUCGCAGAGCUGGGUCCUGGGUCUCCUGCCUGCAGCUCAGGAGCAGCUCUGGAGUGAGCACAGCCUGGCCAGCCCCUCCGCGUCCUCUCCCAGCCCUGCCCGCCCCUCGCCCCUCGCCCCUCGGCCUCCCUCUCUGUCCCCUCCUCCGGGAGCCGAGCCCGCCCUUCAGCCUAGGCGGCACGGGAGACGGGGGACGGGAGGGGGCGGCUCCCUGGGUGCUGGCCUGGAGGGACGCGCCGAGGCCGCAAGCCGCCGCCGGGGCAGAGGCGCAUGGCCCAGGUUGGCCCCGGCCCAGGGCCUCGGGCUCUGCCGCUGUCCUGGCCUGGCGGGCAGAGCCAGACGCACAGCCCGCGCCUCCCCACCUUCUGGGCUCUAACUCCGGGAACUGAAGCAGUGGGACUCCUGCUCAGGUUUGCUCUAAGUGAGCUCGAGAAUCUAUUGCUUCAGAACUCUCAGUACCAUGAAGUCAGUGGAAUGAUCACUGUCAAGAAUGAGUGCGCAACAGGGGAGCAAAUGACAUCAUUCAUCUCUGGCACAGUGGGAAUGAGUGGAGAUGGACGUGGUCAAGGAACAUUUCUUCACUCCAUGCUCUUAAUAAUUGAGAAACACAUGGGGAUACUGUUUCUAACCCUAACUACUGAAACAACAGGUGGACCUGGAAGUCAUUCAAGAACUGAGAUAAGGACAGCUUCUUUCAUAAAUGACCGGGGAGGUGAAAGUCUAGAAAAUAAACAGUGAACUUCUCACUUUGAAAUAGCAAUAAUUAUAGAGUAAUAAAUAUCAAAUACAUAAGAGAAAAAAGACAAAAUUAAAGACAUUUGUUGCAUUACAUGAAAAAAGCCAUGAGAUUAAAAAAUGUAGAGAUUUUGACUUCUUCUAAAUAAAAUUGAUAAGCAAGCAUUAAUGCUUUCCCCUCUGUACCUUCUGUAGUCACACACAAAUGGACCCACCCCAAACACACACACGCACUCAGAGUUUACUUUUAACAAGAGUUGAAGCCAUACACAUUUGUGUUUCUAUUUGAAGACACAGAUUGGGGAGAGCAUAAGGGAGGAACAUCUCAGGGGUUUCCAGAAGCAAAGUGGAUCAUGGCUCAGCUGAGCAGCUCCUCAAAAGCCACUCCCAGCUGUGCUCCAGUCUGCCCCACUGUGAAGGCUAAACUGCUAAUUGCUUUCCUUCCCUUUCUUGCAGUAAAGUGUAGGUAUAAGACCUAAUUCUGGGUCAUGCGGAGUACAUGGAAAUCUGCUGGGG